GCUGCCUGGAGCCCCCCUGGGGACUCGGCUCCCACCGUCCUUGCAUCCUCCAGCCUCCUGCAUGCUACCCUCCUACAGCCACGGAGCCGGGGAGGUGGGAGAUGGAGGAGGGAUGGAGGGAGAGGCUACAGGAGGACCAGUCAGCUAGAUGAGGUCAGCUGCUCUGAGGCAGCAGAAGCUUUCAUGGGAUUUGGAAGGAAGAAGGAAGAAGAGAGUAAUUUCGAAGCAUGAAACUGCCCUAAGGUUAAUAGAAUUAGGCGAGUCACCACAGUGGAUGUAAUUGGGAAGGCAGAAAAUAGCACAACAGAACUGUUUCCAGUAGGAUCAGAGAAGAAGGCAGGAGAAAGGAAAAGGACACAGCAAAAGAGGAGAUUGAGACAUCAGGGAAGUGACGCCAUGACAAGCAAGUGAAUUAGACUGAUUUAAGAGAGCGCUGUACAAAGUCACAGCCUUUACUUUCUCCUCUGGAGCUACCUGGGUCCAGUGGCAAGAUAUAGAUCAAGACGACUGGAGAUGGUCCUGAGGCAGUGGGAGUCUUUGGCCUUUUUAAGCUCAGGUCUUCAACAGGUCUCAGUUUGACUGAACAAUGCCCAUCAGUGAUUAUCCUUGCUCUUGUUACAAAUGUAACAUGGGUUAUAGAUGUAUUUUUUUUUAGGUUACUUUAUUUUUAUUUAUUUAUUUUUAAUUUUAAUAGAUUUUUAUUUACAAGUUAUAUGCAUGGGUAAUUUUACAGCAUUGACAAUUGCCAAACCUUUUGUUCCAAUUUUUCCCAUCCUUCCUCCCACCCCCUGCCCUAGAUGGCAGGAUGACCAAUACAUGUUAAAUAUAUUAGAGUAUAAAUUAAAUACAAAAUAAGUAUACAUGUCCAAACCAUU
rnacentral:lncRNA from 1 species